GCCAGGCGUGGUGGCUCACGCCUGUAAUCCCAGCACUUUGGGAGGCGGAGGUGGGUGGAUCACUUGAGGUCAGGAGUUUGAGACCAGCCUGGCCAACAUGGUGAAACCCCAUCUCUA
rnacentral:SRP_RNA from 1 species